rnacentral:rRNA from 1 species
AGCAGCCGCGGUAAUUCCAGCUCCAAUAGCGUAUAUUAAAGUUGUUGCAGUUAAAAAGCUCGUAGUUGAAUUUCGGGAUCAGUUGGUCGGUCGUGCCUCGGUACGUACUGGUCAAAUUGAUUCCUACCUUCUGACGAACCACGAUGUCAUUAAUUUGGUGUCGUGGGAAAUCAGGACUGUUACUUUGAAAAAAUUGAGUGUUUAAAGCAGGCUCGCGCUUGAAUACAUUAGCAUGGAAUAAUGAAAUAGGACGUUUGAUUCUAUUUUGUUGGUUUCUAGGAUCGACGUAAUGAUUAAUAGGGAUAGUUGGGGGCAUUAGUAUUCAAUUGUCAGAGGUGAAAUUCUUGGAUUUAUUGAAGCUAACUACUGCGAAAGCAUUUGACCAAGGAUGUUUUCAUUAAUCAAGAACGAAAGUUAGGGAUCGAAGACGAUCAGAUACCGUCGUAGUCUUAACCAUAAACUAUGCCGACUAGGGA